UGCUGCUGCAGUAUUCCAACAGCCUCCUGCUGUAGGGUGUGGGGUGCUAGCUGUCUACUGCAAGAGAAAAGAGAAAAAUGGAAAAAGAUUUACAGUGGUACCUUGGUUCCCGAAGGCUUGGCUCCCGAACAAAUCGGCUCCUGAACAUCACAAACCUUGAAAAUCCAUUGGGGCUCAUUUCAGGAAAACGCAGGUUUGUGCAUAUCCCCACAACUACAGACAGAAAGAAUUAAGAAGCGGCAAGUUUCACCUUCUUGAAAUGGGGCGGGGGGCCGAAGCAGAAAAAAGGAGUUGAGAAUGGUUCCAACUGAGAGGUGAUAUAUAUCCUGUUCACAUGUUUUCGAUUCAGAUAAACACUUUUGAAGUGCAGUAUAUUCACCUGGGAAAACGUUGACCUCCUCAAAAUUGUUUGCAGCAUUUUAGUGCAGCGAGAUGCCUGCACAGAUUCCCAGCUAAUUGCAAUGUGGAGGGAAGCAGCAGGGAAUUCACACUUAGAUAAGCUCAGGAAUGAAGCACAAGCCCUGGCCACAGUGCAAAUAAAAUAACAAAAGAUUUUCCAUAUCACAGUAAUCGUCAUUGGCAUUUUUCUCUUGUUCCACUCACAAACUCCUGAUUAGAUGAGGCCCUUGUAGAAGGUGUGCAUACCUCGAGUGCAUGGCAACUGUCUCUUAUUGUGGUGAUUAUUGUCUCUUAUUGUGGCACGCAGGUAUUGCGUACCUGAUUUGCUUUAGAUAUGCUCCUCAAAUCACUGCUGACCCAUAUAGAUGGUUAGGAUGGGCACUGUCUGGUCAUGAUUUUUGUUUAUGUCUGAAAUCAUGGACCAUCUCCAGUCUUCAGCUAUUCGUCGCACACUAACAUAACCAAGGAUAGUGGUUGAUUCUCCUCCCUCCUCGGGUGUGGGGGAAAGGUAGCUUGGCGUCUUUUAUUCUAAUUUGCAUCGGCAACAUGGAGAAGCUUUAGGGAAGAUGAGUUAUCUGCUUUGUCCUGCAUGUAACAACACACACGCACACACACAC